rnacentral:rRNA from 1 species
CCUACGGGAGGCAGCAGUAGGGAAUCUUCCACAAUGGACGAAAGUCUGAUGGAGCAACGCCGCGUGAGUGAAGAAGGGUUUCGGCUCGUAAAGCUCUGUUGGUAGUGAAGAAAGAUCGCGGUAGUAACUAGCCUUUAUUUGACGGUACUUACUUAGAAAGUACCGGCUAACUACGUGCCAGCAGCCGCGGUAAUACGUAGGUGACAAGCGUUGUACGGAUUUAUUGGGCGUAAAGCGAGUGCAGGCGGUUAAAUAAGUCUGAUGUGAAAGCCUUCGGCUCAACCGGAGAAUUGCAUCAGAAACUGUUGAACUGGAGUGCAGAAGAGGAGAGUGGAACUCCAGGUGUAGGGGUGGAAUGCGUAGAUAUAUGGAAGAACACCAGUGGCGAAGGCGGCUCUCUGGUCUGCAACUGACGCUGAGGAGCGAAAGCAUGGGUAGCGAACAGGAUUAGAUACCCUUGUAGUC